rnacentral:lncRNA from 1 species
GAUCUGUUUGCCUUUAAAGUAAAGUAGCAGAAAAUCCAGCUGUAGCUAUCGGCUGUGAACCAAAAGCAAAUCGGAACUGAAGCCUUCACCAUUUGCAAUUCCCAACCCCCUUCUACAACUGUACCCAGAGCAAAUGAGGUCACCCUCUCCCUGUAGAGUCAGCACAAGUCUGGGCAGAAGAUGACGCCGUUGACACUCUGCUGAAAACUGAGACUGCAGCAUUUGCAAGACGCAGGAAAGAACAGAGGCUCAGACUCCAUCAUCUAUAUGGAUAGACAAUGCAGACAAAACAUGUUACUGACCAUAAGAUCAGAAUCUGAAGCAACUAGAAAUCAGUAUCUUAAGUGGUCUUCCAUUCUUCCCUACUCUCAUCAAGAUCCAACAAAAACAUCCCAAACAGAUGAAAACCUUUUGACACAGAACUUUGAAGGCACACAACAAAGAAACUGUGAAAGAAAAACAAAACAAAACAAAACAGUGGAACACAUGUGCCAAGAAAGAGAGAGGUUUCUGCUUAUACUUUUUUAAAAUCAUGAAGAUAAAUUUAUUAUGACCCCAAGAUCUCCUGAAUCAGAAAUUCAAGUACCUGAUUAUUCUAUAAAAUCAAAAUGACAACAUCCUUGGAAAGACAGUUGCCUAGUAACUCAAACCAGAGGGUUGUCUUUAGAUUCCUCUGGAAUCGUGUGUGUCUCUUUUGGUUUUUCUGUUGAGCUCAUUUCCUUCCCUAUAAUCCAAAACCCGAACAAUUUCGGGGGAAAAUUCCACUCAUAAGAAAAACUUUCCUCCAGAAGAUAUUUUUAUUAGGGAAUAUAGCUGUCUUCAUACCAUUGAAUUUCUCUAUUUUCAGGAUUGUUGUAUAACCUUAUAAGAAAAGAAAUGGGAAAAAUGCAUCAACAUAUAAGAAAAGGAAAAAUGUCAACUGAGGGAACGUUUCAGAUUGAGGUGUAUGUAUAUUUGGAUGUUGAAAGCCAGACAAUGGUUUUCUAAGACAGCAUCUCACACAGGAUCAAAGUAUAAUUUACCCAGCUGAAAAUGCUUUGUCUACGCCUACCUCUUCCUUGAAGCCAGGAGAGCUGUUCAGGUAGGCUGUUACUCACCAAGCUCAGAAGCCCUGUGUCUAUCCUCUUCCGAAUCAGUGUUCCUGUAAUACAUUCGUUUUUAUUCUGCGCUUAGACAAAAGACAGUAAGAUAACCGCAUUACUUAUUAUUCUUUUGGUGAUGAGCAAAAGACCCUGGGUGAUAGACUUUACACAAGAGGGAAAUUACUGGAAGGAUUUGGAGCACUCACAAAAGGCUAGCCAAGUAGCUUGAAAAUGGGCAGGAACCAAGGCUUUGGAUGCUAAAAGGCACAGAAAGUUUGAGAAGGAGAAACAGGCUUGCAGAAGUCUGUAAUGGAAUAAAUGAACCUCAAAGAACCAUUCUAUCUUUGUAUUACUCACUUAAGAUUCAUAAUCCCAGAACAGAAUGUCAAAUUGACUGAAUUUAGGUCACAUGCCUGGGCCUGCUAUACCUAAGCCGCGAAAGGAAGGGUUUAAUGGAAGGGACCUUCACAAGCCCCUGCAGCUUCCAUGAUCCAGAGCAUGUACCCGGAUUCGGUCACAUCAAGACUAUUCAAAAGGGGCGGGGAGAUCAUUUCCCAAAGGAAACUCUGAUGCGAUUAGGAAGGGAGAAUGCAUGCUGGGAAGUGAAAAAAAUGUCUGAUGUUGGGGGCACCUGGGUGGCUCAGACGGUUAAGCAUCUGCCUUUGGCUCAGGUCAUGAUCCCCGGGUCCUGGGAUUGAGUACUGCUUUGGGCUCUCUGCUCAGGCAGGGAGGCUGCUUUUCCCUCUCCCUCUGUCUGCUGCUCCCCCUACUUGUACUCAAUCUCUCUCUCUCUCUCUCUCUGUCAAAUAAAUAAAAAAAAUCUUUGAAAAAAAAAAUGUCUGAUGUUCACCAUCGUCUUUGGUUGGGUUUCUAGAAACAGAGACUGAGGCUGGGUUCUUAUUCAAGAGACACAUUGAAAUUGUGCUUUCAGGAGAAACUUGGAAGAGAUAAGGGAAACAAGAUAGAUAGCAGGGGAAGUGGCUAAACAAAGAUGAGGUUUCUGUUGAAGUCUAACUUAAGCCUAAUCCCAUGGGGAGUUUUGGAGUGUGAAUGACACCACAGAGUUGUUCUCUUUGAAGCAAGGGGGCUCGGCUUUUGUAUACACAUAUCAGUUAGUCACUGGCUGCAUGAUGCCUGGAGGAGAGAUAUAGCCUCCCAGGCAUUUCCCCGUAAGGUGGCUCUCAUUGGCCAAGAAUAGUUCUCCAGGGAAGGGCAUAUGUUUGAGCCAUAGCAGCUCAAACACUUACAAUAGCUGAGGAUGGGGCACCAGCACAGUACAGGGGAUCAGGGCAGGACACCUACAACGUUGACUACUACCACAGUAAGACAGGCAAGACAUUUGGAUUUGAUUUGCUAAGUCCAGGGCUUCUCAUCUGUAGACUGGCACAAGCAUCCUGGGAUUACCACUAAUUCUGGGACAGGUCAGAUGAAAGAGAUUAUUUAUUAUGUGGCUGUCUCACUAGGGAAAAUUAUGUAAUUAACAAAUACCAACAGACGGUGUAAGAAGAGGUAGAAUUUCUUUAAAAGGAAAAGAUAUGGAAACUUAUGAAUAUAUUCAAAGGAUAUAUAUAAGGAAAGAGGAUUACAAAAAGAUCACUGAAAAGAAAACAAAGAAAUGGAUAGACUUUCUAAUGCAUUUGAAGAAAGGAGAGUAGUGAGGGAAGUGGCCAUUAAAUAGAGUUUAAUCCCCAUCUUCCAUAAUGGAAAGGUAUGCUGGGAAUUUGCCUAUUUGCUCUCUAAUUCAUACCCUGCCUUCCCCUCUUGGGCUCCUAUUGCAAGGGCUAUGCUUCCCAGACCUGGAUGACUGACUUCUGGCUAAGUUCAGCCAAUGGAAGUGCCAGGAGAUUGGAGGUUGGGAGUCAACCUCCAGAAUAUUUCUUUUUCCCAUUCUCUCUGCUUUGGACAACGUCUCUGGUAGUAGCUGCUUCUCCUCUAUGUCCUCAGUUUCCUCUAAACAUUUCCUGAUACUGCCAGGCCAUCCUACCUGGUUUGUUGCCUCCUGUGAUGGCCUUUGUUAGCACUGCCUUCUCACACUGACCCACUGGCUCUGAAAGUGAUAGUGGCUUUCUGCAGUUGCUAAUCCUAGGGUUGCCUCCCCUUCCCCCAGUUCUUUCCAGUUCUUCUAAUCUAAGGUUUCUUCUCAAUCUUAACACUAUUGAUAUUUUGGGCUGGAUGAUUCUUUGUUGCAGGGGCUGUCCUGUGUGUUAUAAGAUGAUUAGCAGCAUCCAUGGACUGACUCUGUCCACUAGAUACCAGGAGCCUCAAUGCAGCUAUGACAACAGAAUGUCUUCAGACAUUUGUCAGACACUGCCAAAUGUUCCCUGGGGAGUGGAAUCAGCCCAAAUUGAGAAUGACAAUUCCAACUCCUCUUUAGCUGCAUCACAUUUUCUUUACUAAAUAAUCUGAUGAGGGUUUAAUUUUUCUAACUUGACACUAACUGAUUCAGAAAGCUGUAAACGAUGUCUAAAUAUGAUAAAUAUUAAUGUAAUAAACAUAUUGUUUACAAAUAGGCAACUAAUAAAAGAAUAAACAAAAGUAUUGAAUGCAGUUGGUUCUAGAUAGUAGGGUUGGAGGGCAAGGAGUGGUGAUUUUGAGCUUUUUAAUAUUAUUUUAUUUUUAAAAUUUAUGUAUAUAUAUAAACAAUUAAAAACAAUACAGGAAAAGAGAACAUGGAAGACUCAGCCAUUCUAUUACCACAUAGAAAGUUCCAGAGAGAGGCUUAAAUUCUUAUUUUCAUAAGAGAUUAAAGAAGUGCUUAUUCUGAUCUUUUGUUUCUAAUCUCAUCUAAACCAUUUUCUUUUAUAUUCUACCCAGAGGUAAGUGUGGCAGUCACCUAAGCCUAUAUAUAUAUAUAUAUUUAUUUUAUUUUUUUUUUUUUUUUUUUUUUUUUUUUUUCCCCAAGGUAACUCCAGGCUGCCUCCUCUGUAAUGGUUCUGGGUGGAGAACUGGCUUACCUGGUUUUAAUUAUGUAGUAGUCAGAGAAGACAGGAAAAGCACCAUUGUAAAGAUUAUAUGAACAUUGAAAUAACAUUAGAGUCUAGAUCCUAAUGGAUUUUCUCCCACCAAAAACAGGAGGGGGGGGUGCUGUUUCAGACCUUGCUGUGCUGAUGUGUGUCAGUGCUCUUUAUUUUCCUAGCAUGUCUUUCCCCAGUCUCCAUCCACCCCCAUCUCCCACACACUGUAAUCUCCUCCCCCACCUCUAACUCAUCCUCACCUCCCCCCAUCCUAGCAACUGAAACAAAGUCUUGGGAUUCAGUUCUUGAUUUACUUGAUUGACUAGUUGUAAUUGUGUUCCAAUUAUUUUCGAAAUGCAUCCUUCUGAUAUAUGACUAUGUAAAAAAAGACAGUUUUCAACCCUCUAAACAUAAAAAGAUGGAAAUGUAUGUUUAUG